GGGGGUAUAGCUCAGUUGGCUAGAGCGCUUGCAUGGCAUGCAAGAGGUCAUGGGUUCAAGUCCCUUUACCUCCACCA
rnacentral:tRNA from 1 species